UGAAAGAAAUAUUCUCAGACUCCUUCCCUCACAUGUUCAUUUUUACCUGUUUUACUGUGGAUUAUUAUUAAUUGCUUAUAUAUUAGUACAAACAUUUCUCACUAAGAUUAUUACUGAUUUUGGUUCAUGUUUCCAUUCAUUUUGUUAAGUCUUUUUGCUUAAUUUGCUUAAUUGCUUAUUUUGUUUCUCUCUCUGUCUCUCUCUUUUGGAAGGCCAUGUCGUUUCUUUCAUCUUGAAGACAUGGAGUAAUGGUUUUAAGGUAUAGAAAAACAGAUUCCCACUGAAAAACAAAAGUGAAAUAGCAAGUCAGCUUCUUCUAUUGCUAGAAGCUUCCAGAGGAGGUAGAGCAAACUGAAGAUGUCUCUACAAAAGUGAAGCCAACAAUUGUAGAAAGGACCAAGGAAGUGGUAGCCAUGCCUGCCCUAAAUCCACACCGGAAGUGGUGCCAUAGAAAAUCCUGCCAAAUGUGAAGAUGCCAAAGGAGUACUGCUAGUGAAGUUCAUGGAGUAUGGUUCGACCAUCAAUUCAGAAGUCUACUGUGAAACAUUAUGAAAACUCAGACGAAUCAUCCAUAACGAGCAUCAGGGCAUGCUGACUUCCGGGAUGGUGUUGGUUCAUGAUAAUGCUCACCCGCACACCGUUAGACGCACCCAAGA